rnacentral:rRNA from 1 species
UGUGGUUUAAUUCGAUGCAACGCGGAAGAACCUUACCUGGUCUUGACAUCCCGGAGACCCUUAGGAAACUAGGGGGUGCUUCCAUCUGGAAGAAUCUGGAGACAGGUGCUGCAUGGCUGUCGUCAGCUCGUGUCGUGAGAUGUUGGGUUAAGUCCCGCAACGAGCGCAACCCUUGCCUUUAGUUGCCAGCAGUUCGGCUGGGCACUCUAAAGGGACUGCCGGUGUUAAACCGGAGGAAGGUGGGGAUGACGUCAAGUCCUCAUGGCCUUUAUGACCAGGGCUACACACGUACUACAAUGGCCGAUACAAAGGGCAGCGACACUGCGAGGUGAAGCCAAUCCCGUAAAAUCGGUCUCAGUCCGGAUUGGAGUCUGCAACUCGACUCCAUGAAGUUGGAAUCGCUAGUAAUCGUGGAUCAGCAUGCCACGGUGAAUACGUUCCCGGGCCUU